AGAGGUUGUCCUUGCACAGAAAGAUUGGCUAAUGAGUUGUCUCUACCAGAACAGCCUGGGAGGCCAAAAACUUUACUGGCAGGGUGAAUUUGAAAGGUUUUCUUUUAGCAGAGAUAUGAAAUAUGUGGGCUUUUUUGGUUCUUCCCCACUGGCUACAUGCUCAAAAUAUUCUUCCAUACCAGCAUAGCUGUGGCUGCAUGUGGCAUUAGCUGACUUAAAUCCUUGGGGUAGAAACUAAACUUUGGCAGGUAGAUUUGAUGAGAAAAGAAAAAGGGAUUGAGGUGGAGGUUUCUUUGCUUUUAAGUUUGGUAUUAAGCAGGGAAAAUAAACCCUCCUGAGCACAGGAAACUAUAUCGAGCAAGUCGGUCUCAGGGAGAAGCAGGAGUCUGCUGCACAUGUUGGAAUCUUAUAAGCAUCACAGUAGACGAGCACAGUCAGAGCUUCUUGUAUGGGCACACUGAAACCAUCUAGCUUCCUUCUGCACACGGACUGGCGUGAUGAGCUUCUGCAGGACUGGCCGAGCACCCAGGAGUCAACCUACAGGGGACAGUCAGCCGUGCUGCAAAACCCCAGUUCAGUCUGACGAGUAAAGCACUGAAGUCCAGCAAGACCAUUAAGAGCAAAUCAAAACGAAGAAGAAAAGCUGAAGCAUGAGUAAUCAAACGGAAACGUGGCACCAGGUCAAAGUAAAACACCAAGUGCAAGGCAGUCCCAGGGGCAAAUCCAAGAGCAGUCAGUUGGCUGCAAGCUUGGAUUGUGGAGGCCUCCAGGGCUCGGGGUUUCAGCCAUCCUUGCCUCUAAGGACACCAGCGUGGUCUGCCAAGGCUCUGUGUUGCAAUGCAGAGAAUGCCUUUGUCUGGUAAAUGAUAGGAGAGAAACAAUUCCUGAGCACCACAUGGGGGACCCAGCAGCUGACUACAGGGUUUGAGUCAUAAGUCACAGGCAGAAGAUUGCUUCUCCCCUUCCCCCGCCUUCCCUCAGACAUUUAAAAGGCUCCUAGUAUAUUAGCUCUAGAAAUACAAAAGUGCAACUUAACCAAAUUCGUGUGCCUCAUCAGCACCGGAGAUGAGCUCUGUUUCUCCCCUAAGACUCAAAGUCAUCAGUGCAGCUGCCAGAAUACAAGCUCCCACUGUGCUUAAGGAAAGCUGUUCGCCUGAGUUUGUAGGGCAUGGCUUGCAGUCGUGCUGCUAGCCUUGGCUUCAUGCAGGAGAGAGCUAUAUCUCUGGAAAAGGCACCUGAGAGGGACGUGGGAAUACCUGAGCCCUUCAAGAACGUGCACUGCUGCAGCUGCUCCACGUAGACAGGCUUUCAGGGAUAAAAACAAGCCAUGGGAGAAUCCCCCCUAAAGGCAGCCGAGGUCUUAAUUCACUGCCAGCCUAAACCACCAGCUCAGCGUAUGAAAAUCAGAACAAUAAAACAAACCAGCUCCAGUAAGUUGCAGUUGCUUAACAAGUUCCUAUGCAUCAGCAAAGCUAUUGUAACUGUUCACAUGAGCGUGGCCAGCUACUGCUGGCUGUGAGGGGCUAUGACCCAGCUUCAAACCCAUCUUGCAGUCAGGCCGAGCCCAGAGAAAACCUGGAUGGUAAAGAUAACUCAAACGAUAGGUGGUAGUUUGUGAUGCUGCCAUAUCGCCUGUGCCUUUGGGCUAGAGAAGGAAAGCACAGUGUGGCAGGCAGAGCUUGUCUAAAUCCCAACAACCCUUCUCCCGGCUUUCCAGUAUACUCUGAGGCAGAAUUAACUCAGGAGAAUUCUCUCUCAGCGGUUCUUCAAUUACUGCUGUUAUUAUUUGUAUUGUGAUAGCCUCUAUGGGUCCUCACCACAGCCCAGGCACCCUCGUGCCAGGAAGGGAACACACACAACAAAGGUUGCAGCGCCCAUCAAACACGCACGCUGGAAACUAGAAACCUCGAUCGGCAACUAUGGCCCUGUUUGGGUAGGCACUACCCACACAUGUUGGCGAAGGAACAGUCGAGCUCUCACAGAGAUUAUAGUUUUUCAAAAAUAUGCUGGAAAGGAGCUGCCCUUGGAAGAGAGCAAGAGAGAGAUGACUUCCCUCCUCAAAGCAAGAGCAUCGCCCGCAGUGAAGAGAGCAGUAAGGCCCACGGGGAGAGUUCCUCAAAGCAUGGGUGGUUCCCGAAUCAUUAACUGGAUUCUUUCACAUGCUGUGAAAUAUUCAUACUCUUCCCUAAACAUGUUCAUGAAGAGAGGCGCAGCCCUUUCUUUGCAGACAUUGUCUUGCUGUCUCCGUGUAUCUCUCUACUUAUUGUCUCUUGCCUCUUAUUUGUAAGAGUGCAAGUUCUUUGCAGCAGAGACCAUCUUUCAUCCUCUUUGUAUGGUGGCAGACAAAAGGGGAUACUCUCCAUGACCGCAACACAGGAGGGUAAUACAAAUAGCAUUCCAUGGCUGGUACAGACAGGCUAUGACCAUUGCCAACAAUAAAGACAAGUGGAACUGAUCCAACAGAUCAAACUGUGCCAUUAAAGCUCUGACAGAUGAGCUCUAGCAGAACUUGCCAUGCUACUUUGAGAUGUAACUACAGAGCUCAAGAGCAAUCCUCCUUGAACAAGAAGUGGUCACGCUGAGGGGAGCAAAAGACUGACACCUGGGCCAAAGCUCCCAGAACUCACAGAUCACAGCUUCAGGAAAACAGAACUUGUCUCAAACUCAGUACAUCUUUACGAAGUGCUGAUAGAAGCAGAGUGAACCUCCCUCCAUCUUAAGCUAGUUGAGAAACCAAUUCAGCCAUAUGUGACAAAGCAGCAGCUAGAUUUGCUAAAUCCAGAUUCUUACCUUAAGGAAGGUAAACCCAGUGCUGAGCAAGGGCAAAUACAGAAACUGAUAUGGUUGCUUACUCCUAAAGGGAAAAACAACAGUGCUCCAGUGCCGCCACACACCGUGAAAAAAGGAGAAUAAACUGAAACCAGGCAGUAUUAAAAUGAGAGCCUGGAGGCCAGCAGUUGAGCAGAACAACAUCAAACCAACCAUGCGGGAACAGCUGACUGAUAAGGUGAAGACAGCCUGAAUAACAGCACUGCUCCACCCAGCCUGCAUCAGCACUGAAUCCAACAGGCAGGGAAUCACCAUGGGAGAGAGUAAAACCAUGGAAUUUGACUUCCUGGUAAAUUAUCAAGACACCCCCCAGUUCUAAAAAGUUACCCCUCCCCCCCAAAAAAAAAGAAAAAAAAAAGAACGGGGAGGUGAGGGGUAGAGCAUCAUAUAAAUCAGAGAGCAAGAAUUUCUUGCUGUUAACAGAAGCCAAAAGCUUUUCAGGAAUUCCUUUGGACACAGCCUCCAAAAGAUAGUACAUUUGCCUGAUCCACCUUAAAACAGUACAGCUUUUCAAAGCCUGGUAAUCCAUGAUAACUAGGCCAUAAUCCUUCCCCCUCCAGCCUCACAAAAACCAAUAAAGUCAUUAUUGCCAAAAGGGUGCACUAAAUACAGAUGCAUUCGGCUAUUAAUGGGUUUUGCAACUAUUUGCUGUCUAGUAACAUAAACACUGAACAGAACGCGUGCACCCUUGGGUGCAGGAGAACGUGCUUGAAAAGAGAAAAACGCUUUUCAGAAAGAAAGAGUAAGGCCAUCAGGUGCCUAAGAGAAUCUCAAAGCAGUGCUCUUUAUUUGCAAGUCUGCACUUCUUCAGUACUGAUCUGACAUAUCUGAACCACUUUACUUACCGCAUGUUACAAGCACUACAGCUGCAGCUUGACGGUGAAUGGGUGUUUUUUACACGAUGGUUAUCACAAAGUGUGGUAUCUCAUAUUACCUCUACUUGGGAAAAAUGGUCUUGCUGUCAGCUGCAGCAAAGAGUUCAAGUGCCUCCUUCUAUGCCUCUUUUUCAGUUUUCUGAGACCAACUGACAAAACGCACUGCCUUCCCCUGCUUAAUCGUUGCUGGUAAUGAAACCAGGCUGCAGAGAGCAGAGUGGACUGGUUACCUCUCUAGGUUAAAACUUUACUACUGUGAAGUUGCCAGGACCUGGCAGGACUAAGCAGUUGUGAGUAGCAGCUCCUCUAGGACAUCAUUUAAGCAGCCAGGUUUGGCUGCUGUGAACCUCUGUUGUAACAGCAGCCACAGAACUGAGCUGACCUCCCACAGUAUUGCUGUCUUGCAGGAACAGAGAGAAACAAAUCCAAACAAUUAGGGGGG